GCGAAAUAGCUCAGUUGGGACUGUUGGGAGAGCGUUAGUCUAUAGAUUGAACGGUCCCUGGUUCGAUUCCGGGUUUCGGCA
rnacentral:tRNA from 1 species